ensembl:lncRNA
CUUUAUUCUCUGGACUCUGCGACACAGGGAUGCAGUACAGGGAAGGAGCUGCUGAAGAUUUACACUUUUCUUAGGGACAACUGAAGGAAUUUUCCUAUGGACUAUGGCUCUUGGACCAACCUGCUGAGACUAUUUAGACACCUUAAAGUCUCCUGUUCUUUGUGUCAUGAGGAUCAGUGGCAUUUCAUUUGUCAACGGUUAAUUUUAAAAUGUGAAGAAUUUUAAACAUAAGAGUACUUCAUGGACUUGGAUCCUGGGAUGUAAGACCUCAUACAAAGCCAGCUUUUUGAACUGACCUUUGAAAAGCAUUAAAAACUAAAAGAGUGCUGAGUGACUUUCAAAACUCGCGUAAACCGAUUUCCCUCCUUUCAUCACCUGUGGAGUGUGUGGAGGUGUUUACACAUAACAGCAAGCUGGUAAUACAGUGCUGUGGCCAUGGGUAUGAUGACAUUUCUCCAGGCUUGAUGUUCUACCGUUUACUAAACAGCUUUGACAGGACAUAACUGUUUUAGUAAAUACAGAAGGCGCGUGUGGUGUGUCCUUGUGUGUGUUUUGGGUUGCUUUGGUACCACAGCAGUUAGCUUUCUGUUCAGGUAGCAGUUAUUCAAGGUGAACUGGUGCAUCUGCUCACUUUGGAGGAAUAAACAUGAGCUCAUUCCUGCCAGACCUUAUUCUCUAUACAGUGAGGUGUGAUUUUUCCCCCACCCCUCACACAUUUAUAAUCAGGAGAGUUCAGACAGGAAAGAUCUCUCAUGCACAUCAGCUCUGGUACAAUCGUUCUCUGUCUCAGUUUAUAAUAUAAACACUACACACGGGCCAUGCGUUCCGUUAGUUUGACAGGUGUGUGGAAGACAGCCACGAGCCAGGCGGCAGGUGGAGAUGAGGAUUUAUAGAUUUUAAUCGCAUCACUCUAUUGAGCAAUAUUUCCACUGCCUAAGGCAAAGAAGGUUCACAGCUCUGUAUGAUUAAUGGAUGCUCUACUGGGUAUCCCUGAGACACAGAAAAGCUACUGUGCCUCACAAUAGAUGCAGAUUAGUUGUCAAUACAAGUGCUUAUUGGCUUAAUUUUUCACUUUCACUAUCAUUUUUAUAAGGUAAAGACAGAGAUUCAAGCACCUCUUAAAAGUUUUUAUAUCAGUAGACACGCAGUUUUGGACUCAGCAACAGAUAAAGACAGGUGAGAAGAACUGCCAGGAGGGAAAUAAAGCAUAAUUGGAUGUUAUAUCACGUAAGACGAAUGCAUGAUCUGUCCACAUAAAGACAAUGUUCAGUCUAAAUCAAUAAACAGAGUAACAGGCAGGGGAAGUUCCAAGAUACUGAAACAUAUUGUGUUAUGAGUUUCAUUAAAAGAAAAUUGACUUUGGUUUCAGAGAAGUCUGUAAGUGAAAUCCCUCAGGUUUUACCGUUUAUUAUUUGAAAGGCUCCACCUGGAAUUCCAGAUUACACGAUUUCCAGCCUUGAUGUGAUAAACAGUUAAGAAUUUGCAUCGAUUUUGUACUGUCUGCCUAAAAUGACAGUUUCCUUUGGAGUCUCCGAAACAAAAGUCCUAUAAUGUUUCUGUUGGCAAAAGUACUCAGGCUUAAUCGACUAGGCAAAAAGGACUUUUACCUGCCAGUACAAAGUCUGCACACGAUAUGGAGUUGGGGGGGGGGGGGGGGGGGGGGGGGGGAAUAAACUAAUUGGCUGCAUGAACCUUUCAAUGUGCCAAAGGAUUUAGAGAUAGAAGUGUGACAUGUUGGAACGCAUAUGCAGCAAUACUGACUAUACGUUCCUCCUCUUACCUUUAUCUCUGACUUCCGUCUCUUUGUCUUUUUCUGAAUCUUCAUAUACUUGGAAAUCAUAUUGCCUCCGAGAAGACUAAUUCCCUGAAUGAGUUGAAGAGUUUAGGUUUGGCAUAAGGGUGGCUAUUUUUCAAACAGUUAAAUCAGAUAUCCUAGCAAGUCUGACACAAGUAAUAAAACAAGACUUUAUGGCCCAUCUGAACGCAACUUCUUUAAAAUCAGUUAUGCAAAUUUUGACAGGUUGACCUCGUACACUUUGUCAUUUGUGCCAAGAUGUUAAAUUCCACCUGAUCUGUUUCUGAAAGUGUGUCUUUUCCAUGUCUUUUCCAUCUUCUUCUUCUUGUUCUUCUUGUUUUUGUGUUUAGCGUAAAUGAGUGUCAUGCUGCCUUUAUUUCAGGGUAAAUAAAGGCCCGAGGGUGACAUUGAUCAAAGAGUUUAGAUCGUUUUAAAUACCAAAAAUCAACAAAAGAACAAAUUAAAACAACCAAGACGAUAGGCAUUGCUUUUAAUGUUUUUUUAUUAUUAUUAUUGUUAGAUGGAUUUUUCAAAUUUUCACAAAUCUAGUAUACAUGUAUACUUUAAUAAAUUCCAAGUGCUUAAAUACAAAAUGUAAGCUAUCUUGUUAUAUGGCUGUGCUGGUAAGAAAUACUUUGUCAAGAUAUAUAAAUCCAAUUUCUUGGAUAGAUCUGACUUUACAAAGUUACAUUAAAGUUGCAAAUUCAGUUUACACAAGUUUUGUAAUAAGUACUAUUUCUUUAUUAGAUGUUAUAUUUUUUUCUCCAAAAUGUAUACAAC